rnacentral:rRNA from 1 species
ACGGGAGGCAGCAGUGGGGAAUAUUGGGCAAUGGGCGAAAGCCUGACCCAGCAACGCCGCGUGAAGGAAGAAGGCCUUCGGGUUGUAAACUUCUUUUGUUAGGGACGAAGGACGUGACGGUACCUGACGAAUAAGCAACGGCUAACUACGUGCCAGCAGCCGCGGUAAUACGUAGGUUGCAAGCGUUGUCCGGAUUUACUGGGUGUAAAGGGCGUGUAGGCGGAUCUGCAAGUCAGAUGUGAAAUCCCGGGGCUCAACGCGGGAACUGCAUUUGAAACUGUAGACCUUGAGUAUCGGAGAGGCAAGCGGAAUUCCUAGUGUAGCGGUGAAAUGCGUAGAGAUUAGGAGGAACACCAGUGGCGAAGGCGGCUUGCUGGACGGCAACUGACGCUGAGGAGCGAAAGCGGGGGGAGCAAACAGGAUUAGAUACCCUGGUA